rnacentral:rRNA from 1 species
UGCUGACGAGUGGCGGACGGGUGAGUAAUGCUUGGGGAUCUGUCUUAUGGAGGGGGAUAACGACGGGAAACUGUCGCUAAUACCGCGUAGAGUCGGGAGACGAAAGUGCGGGACCUUAGGGCCGCAUGCCAUGAGAUGAGCCCAAGUGUGAUUAGGUAGUUGGUGGGGUAAAGGCCUACCAAGCCGACGAUCGCUAGCUGGUCUGAGAGGAUGGCCAGCCACACCGGGACUGAGACACGGCCCGGACUCCUACGGGAGGCAGCAGUGGGGAAUAUUGCGCAAUGGGGGCAACCCUGACGCAGCCAUGCCGCGUGAAUGAAGAAGGCCUUCGGGUUGUAAAGUUCUUUCGGUGAUGAGGAAGGUUGGUGUGUUAAUAGCAUGCCAACUUGACGUUAAAUACAGAAGAAGCACCGGCUAACUCCGUGCCAGCAGCCGCGGUAAUACGGGGGGUGCUAGCGUUAAUCGGAAUAACUGGGCGUAAAGGGCACGUAGGCGGACCUUUAAGUGAGGUGUGAAAUCCCCGGGCUUAACCUGGGAAUUGCAUUUCAUACUGGGGGUCUGGAGUACUUUAGGGAGGGGUAGAAUUCCACGUGUAGCGGUGAAAUGCGUAGAGAUGUGGAGGAAUACCGAAGGCGAAGGCAGCCCCUUGGGGAUGUACUGACGCUGAUGUGCGAAAGCGUGGGGAGCAAACAGGAUUAGAUACCCUGGUAGUCCACGCUGUAAACGGUGUCGAUUUGGGGAUUGGGGUUUAGCCCUGGUGCCCGAAGCUAACGUGAUAAAUCGACCGCCUGGGGAGUACGGCCGCAAGGUUAAAACUCAAAUGAAUUGACGGGGGCCCGCACAAGCGGUGGAGCAUGUGGUUUAAUUCGAUGCAACGCGAAGAACCUUACCUACUCUUGACAUCCGAAGAAGAACUCAGAGAUGGGUUUGUGCCUUAGGGAGCUUUGAGACAGGUGCUGCAUGGCUGUCGUCAGCUCGUGUUGUGAAAUGUUGGGUUAAGUCCCGCAACGAGCGCAACCCUUAUCCUUUGUUGCCAGCGAUUAGGUCGGGAACUCAAAGGAGACUGCCGGUGAUAAACCGGAGGAAGGUGGGGAUGACGUCAAGUCAUCAUGGCCCUUACGAGUAGGGCUACACACGUGCUACAAUGGCGUAUACAGAGGGUAACCAACCAGCGAUGGGGAGUAAUCUCAGAAAGU